rnacentral:misc_RNA from 1 species
AAGUCGUAACAAGGUUUCCGUAGGUGAACCUGCGGAAGGAUCAUUAUCGUAUAGCGGAGAUGCCGCAGGGCUGUCGCUGACCCUCACAGGUCGUGCACGCCCGAAGGUGCUCUCUCACAUCCAUCUCACCCCUUUGUGCAUCACCGCGUGUGCUUCCCUGUUGGGCUUGUUCCGAGCGGGGGGGUUCACGUUUUUAUACAAACACCAUUUUUAAAAAGCAUGUAUAGAAUGCCUUACUUUUUGCGAUUAUGCGCAAUCAAUACAACUUUCAACAACGGAUCUCUUGGCUCUC